rnacentral:rRNA from 1 species
AUAACUUUUAACAAUGGAUCUCUAGGCUCUCACACCGAUGAAGAACACAGUGAAAUGUGAUAAGUAAUGUGAAUCGCAGAAUUCAGUGAAUCAUCAAAUUUUUGAACGCACCUUGCGCCUUUUGGUAUUCCAAAAGGCACACCUGUUUGAGUGUCA